rnacentral:rRNA from 1 species
GACGAACGCUGGCGGCGUGCUUAACACAUGCAAGUCGAACGGAAAGGUCUCUUCGGAGAUACUCGAGUGGCGAACGGGUGAGUAACACGUGGGUAAUCUGCCCUGCACAUCGGGAUAAGCCUGGGAAACUGGGUCUAAUACCGGAUAUGACCUCGGGACGCAUGUCCUGUGGUGGAAAGCUUUUGCGGUGUGGGAUGGGCCCGCGGCCUAUCAGCUUGUUGGUGGGUGAUGGCCUACCAAGGCGACGACGGGUAGCCGGCCUGAGAGGGUGUCCGGCCACACUGGGACUGAGAUACGGCCCAGACUCCUACGGGAGGCAGCAGUGGGGAAUAUUGCACAAUGGGCGCAAGCCUGAUGCAGCGACGCCGCGUGGGGAUGACGGCCUCGG